rnacentral:rRNA from 1 species
AGUGAACGCUGGCGGUAGGCCUAACACAUGCAAGUCGAACGGCAGCACAGUAAGAGCUUGCUCUUACGGGUGGCGAGUGGCGGACGGGUGAGGAAUACAUCGGAAUCUACUUUUUCGUGGGGGAUAACGUAGGGAAACUUACGCUAAUACCGCAUACGACCUACGGGUGAAAUCAGAGGAUCUUCGGACCUUGCGCGAUUGAAUGAGCCGAUGUCGGAUUAGCUAGUUGGCGGGGUAAAGGCCCACCAAGGCGACGAUCCGUAGCUGGUCUGAGAGGAUGAUCAGCCACACUGGAACUGAGACACGGUCCAGACUCCUACGGGAGGCAGCAGUGGGGAAUAUUCGACAAUGGGCGCAAGCCUGAUCCAGCAAUACCGCGUGGGUGAAGAAGGCCUUCGGGUUGUAAAGCCCUUUUGUUGGGAAAGAAAAGCAGCAGGUUAAUACCCCGCUGUUCUGACGGUACCCAAAGAAUAAGCACCGGCUAACUUCGUG